UCGAGGGGCAGCAUAAUUAUUGCUUGCAAUAAUUGAUGGCGACCGGCGCACGGGUGAGUAUCGCGUAUCCAACUUUCCCAUAACUAGGGGAUAAUCCGUCGAAAGGCGGUCUAAUACUCUAUGUUGUCUAUUUAUGGCCUCAUAUUUAGACGAAAGAUUUAUCGGUUAUGGUUAGGGAUGCGUCCGAUUAGGUAGUAGGCGGGGUAACAGCCCACCUAGCCAACGAUCGGUAGGGGUUCUGCGAGGAAGGUCCCCCACAUUGGAACUGAGACACGGUCCAAACUCCUACGGGAGGCAGCAGUGAGGAAUAUUGGUCAAUGGACGAGAGUCUGAACCAGCCAAGUAGCGUGCAGGAUGACGGCCCUAUGGGUUGUAAACUGCUUUUAUGCGGGAAUAAAGUGAUUUACGUGUAUAUCAUUGCAUGUACCGCAUGAAUAAGGACCGGCUAAUUCCGUGCCAGCAGCCGCGGUAAUACGGAAGGUUCGGGCGUUAUCCGGAUUUAUUGGGUUUAAAGGGAGCGUAGGCUGAAUAUUAAGCGUGUUGUGAAAUGUAGUUGCUCAACAUCUGCACUGCAGCGCGAACUGGUAUUCUUGAGUGUGCGCGACGUAGGCGGAAUUCGUGGUGUAGCGGUGAAAUGCUUAGAUAUCACGAAGAACUCCGAUUGCGAAGGCAGCUUACGAGAGCACAACUGACGCUUAAGCUCGAAGGUGCGGGUAUCGAACAGGAUU
rnacentral:rRNA from 1 species